CCUACGGGAGGCUGCAGUGGGGAAUAUUGGACAAUGGGCGAAAGCCUGAUCCAGCCAUGCCGCGUGUGUGAAGAAGGCCUUCGGGUUGUAAAGCACUUUCAGUGGGGAAGAAAGCCUUGGGGCUAAUACCCUCGAGGAAGGACAUCACCCACAGAAGAAGCACCGGCUAACUCCGUGCCAGCAGCCGCGGUAAUACGGAGGGUGCGAGCGUUAAUCGGAAUUACUGGGCGUAAAGCGCGCGUAGGCGGUCUGAUAAGCCGGUUGUGAAAGCCCCGGGCUCAACCUGGGAACGGCAUCCGGAACUGUCAGGCUAGAGUACAGGAGAGGAAGGUAGAAUUCCCGGUGUAGCGGUGAAAUGCGUAGAGAUCGGGAGGAAUACCAGUGGCGAAGGCGGCCUUCUGGACUGACACUGACGCUGAGGUGCGAAAGCGUGGGUAGCAAACAGGAUUAGAUACCCCUGUAGUC
rnacentral:rRNA from 1 species